rnacentral:tRNA from 1 species
GCCUUCUUAGCUCAGUGGUAGAGCGUUGCACUUGUACGAAAGAGAUGUAAAUGCAAAGGUCAGUCGUUCAAUCCGGCUAGGAGGCA